CUCAACCGGUGAACUGCGCUUGAAACUACUGGACUAGAGAUCAGGAGAGGAAAGUGGAAUUCCUAGUGUAGCGGUGAAAUGCGUAGAUAUUAGGAAGAACAUCGAUGGCGAAGGCAGCUUUCUGGCCUGACACUGACGCUGAGGCGCGAAAGCGUGGGGAGCAAACAGGAUUAGAUACCCUGGUAGUCCACGCCGUAAACGAUGGAUACUAGGUGUAGGGGGUUCGAUUCCCUCUGUGCUGCAGUUAACGCAAUAAGUAUCCCGCCUGGGGAGUACGGUCGCAAGAUUGAAACUCAAAGGAAUUGACGGGGGCCCGCACAAGCGGUGGAGUAUGUGGUUUAAUUCGAUGCAACGCGAAGAACCUUACCAAGGCUUGACAUCCCGUGACAGCCUGUGAAAGCAGGAAUUAGCUUCGGCUACAC
rnacentral:rRNA from 1 species